GACGAACGCUGGCGGCGUGCUUAACACAUGCAAGUCGAACGCUGAAGCUUGGUGCUUGCACUGGGUGGAUGAGUGGCGAACGGGUGAGUAAUACGUGAGUAACCUGCCCUUGACUCUGGGAUAAGCCUGGGAAACUGGGUCUAAUACUGGAUACGACAUGUCACCGCAUGGUGGUGUGUGGAAAGGGUUUUACUGGUUUUGGAUGGGCUCACGGCCUAUCAGCUUGUUGGUGGGGUAAUGGCUCACCAAGGCGACGACGGGUAGCCGGCCUGAGCGGGUGACCGGCCACACUGGGACUGAGACACGGCCCAGACUCCUACGGGAGGCAGCAGUGGGGAAUAUUGCACAAUGGGCGGAAGCCUGAUGCAGCGACGCCGCGUGAGGGAUGACGGCCUUCGGGUUGUAAACCUCUUUCAGCACGGAAGAAGCGAAAGUGACGGUACGUGCAGAAGAAGCGCCGGCUAACUACGUG
rnacentral:rRNA from 1 species